rnacentral:rRNA from 1 species
GACGAACGCUGGCGGCGUGCUUAACACAUGCAAGUCGAACGGAAAGGCCCUGCUUUUGUGGGGUGCUCGAGUGGCGAACGGGUGAGUAACACGGGAGUAACCUGCCCUUGACUUUGGGAUAACUUCAGGAAACUGGGGCUAAUACCGGAUAGGAGCUCCUGCUGCAUGGUGGGGGUUGGAAAGUUUCGGCGGUUGGGGAUGGACUCGCGGCUUAUCAGCUUGUUGGUGGGGUAGUGGCUUACCAAGGCUUUGACGGGUAGCCGGCCUGAGAGGGUGACCGGCCACAUUGGGACUGAGAUACGGCCCAGACUCCUACGGGAGGCAGCAGUGGGGAAUAUUGCACAAUGGGCGGAAGCCUGAUGCAGCAACGCCGCGUGCGGGAUGACGGCCUUCGGGUUGUAAACCGCUUUCGCCUGUGACGAAGCGUGAGUGACGGUAAUGUGUAAAGAAGCACCGGCUAACUACGUG